GACGGGAGCUGCGGACGUCAAACCACGGCUGUGUGCCGACGGUGUGCCCUGGGCCAGCGCCCUGGGCCCGGCCUCACGGCUCCCUCGGGUGAGCAGCGGGCCUAGGGCUGAGAACAGAGCAAUCCCUGCUUCGGGAGGGCCUGGGGGACCGGGGGGGGAGGGGCAGGUGCCACAGGGCAUUUGUCGUGAGGACUCAGAGCAAGAAUGGACAGAGGAGAGGGCCGGUGUCAGGGAUACCCAGGGGACAGUGAGGCUGGAGAGGGUGGCCUGGUGGGGAGGGGACAGAGCAAAGGAGACAGACGUUGUAGACCGGAUGGAAAGCACACAGGAGGCAUCUGGGGUAACACGGAUUCUGAGUUUGUGGCACUAAGCAAGCAGGGAAGGAGCUGGGAGGAGGAGCGGGCUUGAGGCAGGGUGGGGGAUAAUGAACUCGGCUUUGGAGCCAGCUGGGAUGGGAGCAAUUAAUCCACACAGAGAGGGAGGGCGCCUGCUUUGCUGGCUCAGUACCUGCGUUGCUUACUCUGAAUGUCCCCCUAAUCGGCUUAGAGAUUUAUGCAAAUCCGGGUGUGCAGGAGCCCUGAUUGGGUUGCGGAGGAAUUGUCCGGGCCCCCCAUGCUCGGCUUCUCCUCAGCACCCUGGCUCUGAGCUCCUGCUCCCUGAUGAAAUCCCCCAGCUAGAAUGGGGGUUUUAAACAUAAUUACGGCUAGAACCAAAGGGGAUUUCCACAGGAAAAGGGGCACAGGCCCAGAGGCCAGGCCACCCUGGGCCAGAGCGAGAGGCAGGGGUUGCUCUCGGAGCGAGGGACACGGGUAAAGCAGGGAGGUCGAGAGCCCCGGCCCGCCGCUGAGACUGAGCCCUGACCCCAAGCACACACUGAGCCCAAGCCCCAGAAUCCUUGCCACAGACUGAGCCCUGGUCAUGACCACACGUGGACCCCUGACCCUGGUCACUCUCUGAGCCCUGACUCUAGUCCCAUGCUGAACCUUGUCCCCGGCCACAUGCUGAGCCCUGACCUUGAUCACACACUAAGCUCUGGUCCUCCAAAACAAGAACGUUGUCACGGAAGCCACCGUCCCCCCUGGUCUGGGCAUCCUGUGGUCCUCUGGUUUUGUGCUGCUUAUGAGUGGGAGGUCAUACCGCCAUUCGAAUGGAUGAGUCCGGGUGUCUCCGAUCUAGACAAUAAGCCAGGAGGACCAGGCUCCGUGUUCACCCUGCUCACAGGACCUCCCAAGGGUCUGGCGCCCUUUCAAUACAAGUUUGUGGAGGGAACGAAUGAGCGAAUGGAUCGAUCAUACCCAAGACUGGAUUCUUUCGGUAAGGAGGAAGCUUUGUCGGAUGAGAGAGGAAGUAAAUGCUCUCCUUGAGCAUCCAGAACAUAGAGGUCGGCAUCUUCCUGCGUAGACGCCCCCCAGAGUGCUCACCCGUCCCCCACUCUCAGACACCGCAUGGCGUCCAGGUGCCCGUUCCGGUGACUUCUGUCUCCUCUGCACACGAGUGUUUUCACCUUCCUUGCUGUUGCACGGGCUGAUGCCUGGACACAUAACCACGGGAUGCCAGGCAUGGGAUAUUAGGGCCAGUGACAUGGGCCGCUGGGUCACCAGCGCAUAGGACAGUGGGGCCGUUGAGUCUGGAAUCUAUAGGGCUGGGUGGCAGGCUGGAAACUCAGGUAGGGUUUCUGUGACAGCCUUGAGAUCAAGCUCCUUCUCCAGGAGACUUCCUUUCCGUUCUUAGGGCCAUCUCCUGAUUAGAUGAGGCCCACCAUGUCAUGGAGGGCAAUCUGCUUCACUGAAAUCCACCACUUGUGGAUCUAUUCGUACCUAGAGGACGUCUUCACAGCAAUGUUGAGACUGGUAUUCAACCAAACGUCUGGGCCCCACAGUCCAGGCCAGUUCACACAGCAGUGACCGCUGCAGUCACUUUGAGGGGCAUUUAUUAGCAGCCUACACACACACAGAUGUUAGUCUUGACUUAUCCUCGCCCGAACUGAGUGUCAGGAAUUUACCACUUUAAUAUUGGUAGCAACACCUCACGUAAAAGCGCAUGCAUUUGGUUAGUGGAGAAUCUGAGCUUCUUUGCACAUAUUUCUAGCUCAUGAGACAUUUGAAAGAGCCCAGCAGGGUGGGACUGCCACGGGGUCUGGGGACUCGAGAGAAGGAGACUGUGGGAGGGACAGGCAGACACGGGUGCGGGUGGCACCCUCCGGUGUGUGUGACGUUGCGGGGACCCGAGGGUGCGGUCAGAGCGCGGGCGGUGUCUGCCCAUCACCCUUCCGGGUCCAGCACGACCCUGGGGGCCCAGCAGCCCUGCACUUCUGUGAAGUCCAGGCCACUUAGGAGCCAGCUCCGAGCUUUGGUCUUGCCGGGCUGGUGGGGGCAGAGAGAUGCAUGGGGCCCAGUGCCAACCGCGGGCUCCAUAAACCGGCCUCGCUUUCGCUGUUUCAUUGUUGCUGCCUCUGAGGAGGGAUAGGACAGCUGCCCAGUGCCCAGCACGUAGUGGGGGCUCGGUUCCCUCUCCCUCCCCCUUCGUGUCACAGCUCAAUUUGCUGUUAGGCCGGUUGAAGGAAUUGGGUCAGUUCCUAUAAUAUCUUCUCACUGAUUCCGAUCAUUCAGGCAAUUGCGACAUCAUUAACCCAGAUCAUCACAUUCUUUGAUCAGCUGCCGAGAAUAGUGACACUCCAGGCAUUCAGCAGGGAGCCCGGCCACAAAGUGACAGUGAUCUGGCAUUUGCCAAAAGCCCACUGGAGACACUUGGCAUUUGAGGGACAGACGGUCCAAGGCACGUGCUGACUCCACAUUUGUCCGGGUUGCUCUGUUUUCCGUAUUUGCGUUCGCCCUGAAAUCAGCCUCCCGGUUCCUGUGCCUGGUCCAGAUCACUGUGUGCACGUGCACGUGUGAAUGUGUGCAUGCGUGUGUGCAAGCGUGUGUGUGAGAGAGAGACAGAGGGACAGAGAGAGAGAGAGAGAAACUGUUUUAGCUCCUUUAAAUAACAAUAAGCUUCUCGUGGAGCAACAGGACAGGUUCCAGAAGCCACGGGAGUCCCUGCGGUCCCUGUCAUCGACACGACGCGGGACCUUGGAGAGUCCUUGGCACGUCCGCGCUCCGGUGCUCCCUUCUGGAAACUGGGCUCCGGGGCUUCGUGUGCAGGGUGUUGUCGGGACAAGAUCCAGUGCGAUGAAGGCGCUCGGCAGAGAGCAGGUGUUCCAAACACAUUCGCUGUGGUCUUUCUUGUCUGCCCUUCGUUUCUCUUCACGAUUUCGCUUAUUCGCAAUUCCGCACGUCACCCGUGCGCAACUCGAAGCUUCUGGAUGGCGCUCCAGAUGCGGUGGCCUCGGCCUCACUCCCCGCUCUCGGGGUCCCUGCCCGAGCGCUAACGGACUCCCGCCGUUAGAAGUGAGCGUCUGUGUCCUCGUAUUGGCACGCCUGGCACCGUGCGGCUCCCUCCCGCGGACCCCGGGGCCGGCCCAUUUCUGUCGGAACCGCUGCUGGUGCCCCAGAAAAGCCGGGCGGGGCGCACGUAGGUUCCUGCUAACCUGUGUGGUUCUGGCCACGCUGCAGGUGGCCCCUGCCCGCACCUCCGGGACGCUCGUGGGGGCUCCUCUAGGGCUGGCGCUGAGCUGUGUCGCCAGGGCCCCGUGGGCCCACGGCCGGUGUGGCAGCUGCCGCCAGCCUGCCCUCCAACGUCCUCAUCGCCAUUCCCGUUGCCUGGAGGGUGACGCCGGGUCCAUUGAGAGCAUCACUGCCCCGCAACACCCACCUGGCAUCCAGCAAGUAUUUGUAGAAUGAGCGACGGAACGAAGAGAUGGGCGAGUGAACGGCUUCGCCUUUCUUUCCACGGUGGCGCAGUCGACACCCGCGUGGCCUAAGACGUAUCCCCACACGCGUCCACGCUGCCCAGCAGGGCCGGCCCGGUGACGAUGUGGAUCUGAAGAAAGGAGGGUUUAUGUUGCACACCUGAAAGUCAGCGGACAUUGUGCGUUCAUUCUGUUUCAAUUAAAAAAUCAUGAAGACCCUUA